GACGAACCGUGCAAACGUUGUUCGGAAUCACUGGGCUUAAAGGGCGCGUAGGCGGGUUCCCAAGUCGGUGGUGAAAUCUUUCGGCCCAACCGGAAAAGUGCCGCCGAUACUGGGAGUCUCGAGGGAGGUAGGGGUCGAUGGAACUUCAGGUGGAGCGGUGAAAUGCGUAGAUAUCUGAAGGAACGCCGGUGGCGAAAGCGAUCGACUGGACCUUUUCUGACGCUGAGGCGCGAAAGCCAGGGGAGCAAACGGG
rnacentral:rRNA from 1 species